rnacentral:rRNA from 1 species
UACGUAGGGGCCUAGCGUUGUCCGGAUUUAUUGGGCGUAAAGAGCUCGUAGGCGGUUCGGUAAGUCAGGUGUGAAAUCUCCACGCUCAACGUGGAGGGGCCACCUGAUACUGCCGUGACUCGAGUCCGGUAGGGGAGUGUGGAAUUCCCGGUGUAGCGGUGAAAUGCGCAGAUAUCGUAAGGAAGACCAGUGGCGAAGGCGGGUCUCUGGACAGUUCCUGACGCUGAGGCACGAAGGUCAGGGGAGCAAACGGG